rnacentral:lncRNA from 1 species
GAUGUUGGAACUCCAGGGAAGCUGUAAAAUUAGAAUUUUUACAAGCCUUAAGAAAUAUACUCACUCUGAAACCAGAGAGCAUAUGACAGCUGUAAUGUGAUAUGGAAGUAUCUGUGAUUUUUCCUGGUGACAGAAUCAAAGGUUGGGCUUGAAAGUGUAACAAGAGGUUAAAAUAGAAGUUCUAGCUGAAGCACAAAGAAAGUAGAAACAACACAUCAAAGUGAGGGAUUUAUAAAGCAGGAGACUGAAAACCAGCUGGUGACUCUUGAAUUCCUCACCCUUAUUGAGAGUAUAAAAGGCUUAUAGCCCUCACCCUUUCACCUCAAAUCAAGAGGGAAGGGUUUUAGAAACACAACUUGGAGAGCUUAAUAUGUAUCCCUGAAGUUUGAGGAAAGGGGACGUAGUGUACUGACUUCUGCCUGGAAAGUCUAACAGGUGGGAGAUUAAUUGACUGCAAUGAAGGAGAAAGCCAAUGACAGGUUGCUUCUUGACUGGAAUUGUUCAGCACUCCAGAGGCUGUCAGGGAAAGGAUGUGAGCAUGCUGCCUGGAAUCUGAUGUGGCUCAGCUGUAGGACAAAGAUAGUGUGUUUUCUUAAGUUCUGACCAAAUGAACCACCUUAAGAGACAAAGAUCACUCAGCAAGGAAAGCUGAAGAUGCUAUGAGAUGCCAGAGGUUGGGGAAGGAGCAAACAACCAGCUGGAAUGGAUAUGCCUUUUCUCAAAGAAAAUUGCAAGUGGAAGAAUUCCAGCCAUGGGGUCUCCAAAGCAUCCGUGAAACUGUUCCACAAGACAAGGAUGGAUGACUGAAUGCCAAACCCAGAGAGCAGUGAAGCUAAAUCAACUCAAUCAUUUCAGUGAAGAAAGAAAUCUCCUGUCCUUUCCUGUCCCUGAACUCCAUGAUGAAGGGCCAUGUGCUGUAGGUAGCAAAACAGGGGAGAAAGAAUUUCAGUUUUCCUUUUCCCUUGAAAUUUUCUAGCUAAAUCAGUCCGAAAUGUGGAAGGAAAAAGCAUGAAGUUUUUUAUUUUUAUUUUUUGAGACUGAGUCUUGCUCUGUUGCCCAGGCUGGAGUGCAGUGGUGUGGUCUUGGCUCACUGCAACCUCCUCUUCUCGAGUUCAAAUGAUUCUCCUGCCUCUGCCUCCCGAGUAGCUGGAAUUACAGCCGUGCACCACCAUGCCCAGCUAAUUUUUAUAUUUUUAGUAGAAACAGGUUUCACCAUGUUGGCCAGGCUGGUAAUGAACUCCUGACUUCAGGUGUCUGCCAGCCUUGGCCUCCCAAAGUGCUGGAAUUACAGGCAUGAGCCACCACACCUGGCCACAUGAAAGCAUGAAAUUUAAUGCAGAUAGAUUUACCUAUCAUAUAAAAAUGGAAAACCGAAUUACUAAGUGGAACUGAUAUUUUGUGAUCCAGGAAUGACCAUGUCUGAACUUUCAUUUGAGGGGAAAAAGGAUAAUUAACACCAUUGAACAAAUUUAAAGGGAGAAUGGAAGACAAAGUAAAGUUGUUUUAUGUUUACAUACAGCUGUGCUAUUAAGAAAAGCUACCGAUUUUUAUUUUUUGUCUCGUACAAAUUUUUCUCAUUAAAGUUAUACAACCAACAAAAAUAGAUUUGUAUCUUCUUUUCUACUAUGAGUAUUGAUUAUUUUUAUCUCAUUGCAUUUGCUUGGACCUUCUCAAGAAUAUGGCAAAUAAUAAUAGUUAUACUAGGCAUCCUUGUCAAGUUCUGAUUUUAAUUGAAGAGGUUUUAGUGUUUCACCACUAGGAAUACUAUGUGCUUUUGGUUUCAAACUAGGCUUUAUUAAAUUUUAGUAUUUUAUUCCAGUUUUUAGUUUCUGUUUUCUAAUUUUCUUAUAAACAAUAAAACAAUUAUGUCUGUUGAAUUUGAUUGGAUGUCUUAUUUGUAACUAUCUGAUGACAUUUUAGUAUUGAUUAAUCAAAAAAUAUUUUCCUUUAGUUUAUUUUUUGAUUUUGCAUUAUGUUGAUAAAUUUCCUAGUAUUGAAUAACCUUGGUAUUCUUAGAACAUUCCUAACUUAGUAAUAAUAUAUAUUUUGGUACAUUGUUUGAUUAUAUUUGCUAAUAUUUACCUUUUUCUCCCCCCUACAGGCAUUUAGUGAAAUUGGUCCAUAGUUUUAUUUUCUUCUGCUAAUGCUAUGCUGAGUUAAUAAAAUGAAUUGAGAAGCACUCACCUUUUUCUGUGGUCUGGAAUAAGUAACACUGAAAUAAUCUGUUCUUAAUACAUACGAUGAAAUACUUACAAAUGUGCAUUAUUGUGGUGACUUUUAAAAUAGUACAUGUUUAAUUACCUUUGAAGAUGCUAACGUAGCAAUUAAAAAUGUUUUUUCAUUUAUGAGUCAA